AGGGUAACCAGAAGUUGACGACGCCACGUUGGGGAUUCGCCCAAGGAAAUAAAUCGCCAGUAAGGCACUUCAGGUUCGGGGCCAAUGAGAACAAGACUUUAUUCUACCACAAAGUAGCUACAUUUUAUUGUUUCAUGUUUUAAAAUUAAAAUGUAAAGAACCACAAUGGGAAGGGAAGUGCAGUCCAAAUGUGGGGAACUGGUUCCCAAAACAAAUGAAAUCCAAAUGAAUCACCCUGAGCACCGGUCACUGGCACAGGUCCAGUUCCUCUGGACGCCCCCCCACCGCCUUCAGCUCUCAGCCUGGAGACAAAAGGGUUAAACAGAGCAAAUACUAAAAAACAAGACACUACAAUUUAGACAUGAAGUGCUAAAAUGACCUCUAACCUCUGACAUCCAGUCAUUAAAAAUCAAUGUUUUAAUUAAGUAAUCUAAAAAAACCAGUCUGCUGCCCGCAGCCAGAGGACACACAGAACGAUAGAAUAACCCAAAAACAAAUUUAAACAAAAAGUACAAAACUAAGAAAUCAAACAAAUAGUUGGAAAAAAACAAAGCAGGAAAUAAAACCAACAAAGCAGCUUUUGUCUCCAGCAGCUUUCUGUCAGAGCUGGAUCCUCCAUCCACAGCAGGACUUUCUUUAUAUAAAUAUUUGUCAUUUUGUGCUAUUGAUCUGCAUCGAUGCAAUAAAAAAAAACAUUUUAUGUUGCCAGCUGAACUGGGGAGGCUAAAUUACAGUCAGACCCCAGAAACAAGCAGGAAACUUCAGGCAGUUUCUAAAUUUAAACAAUUUGAAUUGACCAACUAAACCUGCAGAUCUUAUCCUGGAGGAGAAACAUUAGAGUUAUAACCACUGCAAGCUAAGCUAGACACCUUCCUGCUGAAGAGCCACCAAAUGCAGGAAUAAAGAAACCAGCUGAGUUUCCCUUCAUGCUCAGACAUCAUCAGGUGAUCAGCUGCCAGUUUCCCUCAGUCCUGCUCAGGCUUCAUCCUGCUACAUUCACUCAGUUUUAAAGUCCAACCUGUAACAUCAAACAUCCCUCUGGGCUCUGAGGUGGAGCAGGAACAGCUUGAUUUUACUCGUUUUAAUGCUGUGCUGUAAAAACUGCAUUAAAUGUCAGUUUAUGUUUAAUAUUGUAUGAAUAACUGAGAUGAUUUAAAUACAUCUGUGUUCUGGGUGAGACUUGUCUCUGGUUUCUGAAGGUUCAGCCUCGCUCCAUUCUUUAUCCGCUGGCCGUUUGAAAUGAUCUAUGAUUUUUAGUUCUUCUGGUUUAGAUGGAAAAUAAAAAAACAUUUCCUGGAUUUUGGCCUCCUGUUAGGAUCAGCGGCUCUCUGUUGACGGAGUAAAGGUUUAUUUCUGACUGUUUUCUCUCCUCUUGUUGUGUUUUCGGUUUUGUUCAUAUUUAUUUAUGUAAAUUUGAUUUUCAUUGCUGGAUAUUAUUGCUUCUCUUCCCCAGUUAUCUGCAGGAAAAGUGACAGUUUAAUAAUGAUUUGUCUCUGGUUGUGGUUUUCCGUACAGACGGAUGAAGUUCUGCUCAGCGGCUCGCAGAAACAAAUCUCCAGCCUGUGAGACGGAAACCUGGGGACAAAAUCACUCUGGACUUUGGAGACCAAAAGCUGAGAGAGGCGGAUUGGGUCGUUUGGUCUCGUGGUUCGGACAGCGCCGUCCUGGCUCAGUACGUCGAAAAAGACUUAUUUAUGUUAUCCAAGAGGUUCCGGCUGGAUACAGAAACCGGGUCGCUCACCAUCCUCAACCUCUGUGUGAACGACACCGGGACCUAUCAGGGCCAGAACCUGAACGGAAACGCGGAGACGUUUUCACCGGACUGUUGACGAACCGGUCCACAGUCCAGUAACCUCUGAACCUUCACCAGGCAGGUCACACCGGUCCGGUGCCGUUGCUCCGUCUCUGCUGGUUCUGCUCGGCGCUGCUAACAUGCUAACCGGUUUCUGACUGAGAACCAACGAGCUGAAGGGGAAAGAUACAAUCAGACCAGUAACAGUCUGAUCUGGAUCUUCUUGGACAGAAACAUCUGCAGCCUCCAGCUGUGACUCUGGAGCUCAUCGUC